GGACAGGUGCGAGAGUGGUUAUUCGGACAGCCUUGAAAGCUGUUGACCUUUGGUCGCGCAGGUUCGAAUCCUGUCCUGUCCG